UACGUAGGGGGCAAGCGUUGUCCGGAAUCAUUGGGCGUAAAGCGCGUGUAGGCGGCUCGAUAAGUCUGCUGUGAAAGUUCAGGGCUCAACCCUGAAAUGCCGGUGGAAACUGUCGGGCUAGAGUCCGGAAGAGGCGAGUGGAAUUCCUGGUGUAGCGGUGAAAUGCGCAGAUAUCAGGAGGAACACCAAUGGCGAAGGCAGCUCGCUGGGACGGUACUGACGCUGAGGCACGAAAGCCAGGGGAGCAAACGGG
rnacentral:rRNA from 1 species